AAUGAAUGAAUGAGUAGGGAAAAGGGAGAGAUGGGCUUUAAGGGUGGUAACCAGGACGCGGUCCCCAUCAGAGCGUUGACUUCCUGCUAAUGCUUAGGUGUGCAGUAGCAAUGGCACAAAGGCCCCGCAUUACUCAAGCUUCGUGUCAGUUACGCCGCAUAGGAGAGGGAAGGGUUUGUUUGGCUUGGAAAUUCAAGGUACAGUCCAUCGUUUUAGAGAAGUCGAAGCCGGAACUGAAGCAGCUGGGCACAUCGAACCCACAGCAGAGAGCCCACACAUGUUUGGUUCUGCUUAUGUCAUGGCCGGCUUCGGAGGUCAAUUCAGCGCGGCCCAGAGUCGCCUGGGAAGAGGAAAGAAACCUCACCUGAGAAAUUGCCUCCAUCAGAUUGGCUCAUGUCCACAUCCGGUACACGCACAUGUAUGCAGAUACUCAAGGAGGCCAGAAGGGGACGACAGAUCCCCUAGAGUUGGAGCUUCAGGUGAUUGUGCCCACCAGACAUGGUGCUGGGGACUGCACUCAGUCUUCUGCAAGCAUAUUCUCUUGGACAUGGAGCCAUCAUCGUCUCUCCGGCUUUCAACAGGUUUUCAACUACUUCCUUCCCCGACUACAGAAGCCGCCAGGUAGCACAGAUACCUUGUUGUUCGUGUCCUCGGGAUCUCUACCCCCUCAGCAAGCUGUCACUUCUAAGAGGGUCCUGGACCUGAGAUGACCCAAAUCAAUGAUAUUUUUAGACUUUAUGAAAUUGAGGUGAAAGCGAUAGACUCAGUAGAAACCGGACUCCAGUUACGAGUUUCUAUUGUGCUUAGGCUAUGCAUGCUGUGUGAUUCUUCCUUGUGGCAGCUCGCCACAGUUCCCAGGGAACAGCAUGACUAAUACGGGGGAUAGCCAAGGCUCAAUGCUGUGCCUCUAAGCUGUUCAGUAUAGUAAAAGCACUGUCUCUCGGGGCUGGGGAUUUAGCUCAGUGGUAGAGCGCUUACCUAGGAAGCGCAAGGCCCUGGGUUCGGUCCCCAGCUCCGAAAAAAAGAACCAAAAAAAAAAAAAAAAAAAAAAAGCGCUGUCUCUCUCUCUCUCCUUCCCCCUUUCCCUCCCCCUCCCUCCUGUGUGUGUGUGUGUGUGUGUGUGUGUGUGUGUGUGUGUGUGAUAUGCACCUGAGGAUGCCUUG